rnacentral:piRNA from 1 species
UGCGCAAUCUUUGAAUGAGUGCUGUGUGA